rnacentral:rRNA from 1 species
CCUACGGGUGGCAGCAGUGGGGAAUAUUGCACAAUGGGGGAAACCCUGAUGCAGCGCCGCCUCGUGAGUGAAGACUUAAUUCGUUACGUAAAGCUCUAUCAGCAGGGAAGAAAUACUGACCUUCCGGUCAGCAGACGGUACCUGAGUAAGACGCCCCGUCGAACUACGUGACAGCAGCCGCGGUACGACGUAGGGGGCAAGCGUUAUCCGGAUUUACUGGGUGUAACGGGAGCGUAGACGGUGCGCCAAGUCUGUAGUGAAAUGCCGCAGAUUAACUGCGGAACUGCUUUGGAAACUGGCGAACGAGAGUGCGGGAGGGGUAAGCGGAAUUCCUAGUGUAGCGGUGAAAUGCGUAGAUAUUAGGAGGAACACCGGUGGCGAAGGCGGCUUACUGGACCGUAACUGACGUUGAGGCUCGAAAGCGUGGGGAGCAAACAGGAUUAGGUACCCGAGUAGUC